UGAUUUGUGAGCAUAGCCGUUCGAGGGAGGGUUUAAGACCAAGCGGAAUCCUCUGUCGGCUGCUCGCUCCCGCUUCACAGCGAGCUGGACUCGCGCUAACCGAGUUAGGUUUUUUAACGUCCGCGUUUCGACUUCAGCUAAUCAGUUUUGGGAGAAUGCAAACAACGUGAUUCCAACAUCCAACCAUGCAAGAAAACGUGCAUUUUACCUGAGGGAAGACAUACUCAAUAAGGAAAGUCAUCUUUCUUUAAUGUAGCAGAGUUGGAGUGGACCUCUUGCUGAAGAACUUCUCCAGGCACUAUGAACCAUCUGACUAAUGCUGUCAUGAAAAGCAACUGCUGGACACCUGGGACAGGCCAUCAAUUCCAAGUUGGCGGAACUGAGUUCCAACUGAAGAAAAAGGAG